UGUCUUAAUCAGACAUUCCAUAAGUUGGAAUGACACGGAGAAGAUUAGCAUGACCUCUGAGCAUAGAUGAUAGCCUGAUAUAUGGGUCUCAGUAGAUUUGA